GAUGAAGAACGCAGCGAAAUGCGUUACUUGGUGUGAAUUGCAGAAUCCCGUGAACCAUCGAGUCUUUGAACGCAAGUUGCGCCCGAAGCCAUUAGGCCGAGGGCACGCCUGCCUGGGCGUCACACGUCGUUGCCCCCCCAUCUACUCCUUCGGGAUUGCGGGGGGCGGAUGAUGGCCUCCCGUGCGCCUCGCCGCGCGGUUGGCAUAAAUGCCAAGUCCUCGGCGACGCACGCCACGACAAUCGGUGGUUGCGAAACCUCGGUUGCCCGUCGUGUGCGGUCGUCGCGCAUCGAGGGCUCGAAAAAAUUGCCGGGUUCCGGCUCGGCUUUCAACGCGACCCCAGGUCAGGCGGGGUUACCCGCUGAAUUUAAGCAUAUCAAUAAGCGGAGGA
rnacentral:misc_RNA from 1 species